rnacentral:rRNA from 1 species
AACGAACGCUGGCGGCAGGCCUAACACAUGCAAGUCGAGCGAGGACUUCGGUCCUAGCGGCGGACGGGUGAGUAACGCGUGGGAACGUGCCCUUUGCUACGGAAUAGCCCCGGGAAACUGGGAGUAAUACCGUAUGUGCCCUACGGGGGAAAGAUUUAUCGGCAAAGGAUCGGCCCGCGUUGGAUUAGGUAGUUGGUGGGGUAAUGGCCUACCAAGCCGACGAUCCAUAGCUGGUUUGAGAGGAUGAUCAGCCACACUGGGACUGAGACACGGCCCAGACUCCUACGGGAGGCAGCAGUGGGGAAUCUUAGACAAUGGGGGAAACCCUGAUCUAGCCAUGCCGCGUGAGCGAUGAAGGCCUUAGGGUUGUAAAGCUCUUUCAGUGGGGAAGAUAAUGACGGUACCCACAGAAGAAGCCCCGGCUAACUCCGUGCCAGCAGCCGCGGUAACAC